rnacentral:rRNA from 1 species
AUUGAACGCUGGCGGCAUGCCUUACACAUGCAAGUCGAACGGCAGCACGGGAGCAAUCCUGGUGGCGAGUGGCGAACGGGUGAGUAAUAUAUCGGAACGUGCCCAGUCGUGGGGAUAACGUAGCGAAAGCUACGCUAAUACCGCAUACGAUCUAUGGAUGAAAGCGGGGGAUCGCAAGACCUCGCGCGAUUGGAGCGGCCGAUAUCAGAUUAGGUAGUUGGUGAGGUAAAGGCUCACCAAGCCGACGAUCUGUAGCUGGUCUGAGAGGACGACCAGCCACACUGGGACUGAGACACGGCCCAGACUCCUACGGGAGGCGGCAGUGGGGAAGUUUUGGACAAUGGGCGGCAAGCCUGAUCCAGCAAUGCCGCGUGCAGGAUGAAGGCC